GUGGGUCAAGACGGGUCAAUGUGGCCGAAGACAGGCCAAAACGGGUCAAGGUGGCCCCUUGGCAGACGUAGGUAGCCCCUUGGCGGCCCUAGGGAGGUCAAAACAACCCUAAGCGUGCAAAGGCAGCUCCUUGGUGGUUUAAGACGUCCCUUUGGUGGCCCUAGGCGUGUCAAGGCAUCCCUCUUGGCAGCCUUAGACGGGUCAAGGCGUGUAAGGGCUGCCCCUCGGUGGCCCUAGGUGGGUCAUGGCGCCCCCUUGGCUGCCCUAGGUGGGCCUAGAAGGGCCGAGGAGGGUCAAGGCGGUAGGGUCUAGGACGGCCAUGGCGACGCCUUUGCAAGUCAUGACGGCUUCUUGGUGACACUAGGCAGCUCAAGGCUGGCCAAGGCGGGUCAACGCGGCUCAAGUCGCUCAAAGGCGGGUCAAGGCGGUUAAAAGCUGCCCAAGGCAGUCCAAGUGGGCUCAAGUACUAGUGGCUUCUUGGUGGCACGAGGCAGCCCAAGGCGGUUCAAGGCGGUUCAAGACGGGCCAAGGCAUGUCAAGGCAGGCCAAGGAGGGCCUAAACGGGUCAAGGCGGGCCAACGUGGCUCAAGUCAGUCAAAAAGGGGUCAAGGCGGGUCAAGGAAGGCCAAAACGGUUCAAGGCGGGUCAAGGCGGGUCAAGGAGGGUCAAGGUGGGAUAAGGCGUGCCAAAGCGAUCCUAGGCGGCCCUAGACGGGCCUAGGAGGGUCAUGGUGACCCCUUGGCGUGUCUUGGCGGUUCUUGGUGGCUCUAGGUGGGUUUACGAGGGUAAAGGCGGCUCAAGGCGGGUCAAGGUGGCCCAUGGCGGGCCAAGGCAGGUCAAGGCGGCCCAAAGCAGUCUAUGGCGAGUCAUGGCGGCUUCAUGGUGGUGCUCGGCAAGUCUAGGCGGGUCAAGGCUGUCCAAGGCGGGCUAAGAUAGUCCAAGGCAGGACAAGGUGGCCCAAGGCAGGUCAAGGUGGCCACUUGGCGGACGUAGGCAGCUCCUUGGCGGUCCUAGGGAGGUCAAAACAGUCCUAAGCGUGUAAAGACAGCCCCUUGGUGGGUUAAGACGUCCCCUUGGUGGCCCUAGGUGUGUCAAGGCGGUCCCCUUGGUGGCCCUAGGAAUGUUAAAGCGGCCCUAAAUAGGUCAAGGCGUGUAAGGGCUGCCCCUUGGCGGCCCUAGGUGGGUCUAGAAGGGCCGAGGAUGGUCAAGGCCUUAGGGCCUAGGAGGGUCAUGGCGACGCCUUUGCAAGUCAUGGCGGCUUCUUGGUGGCACUAUGCAGCCCAAGGUGGUUCAAGGCGGGCCAAGGAGGGUAAAGGCGGGCCAAAGCAGGCCAAUGCGGGUCAAGGAGGGUCAAGGCGGGCUAAAGCGGCCGUAGACGAGCCUAGGAGGGUCAUGGUGACCCCUUAGCGUGUCAUGACUGCUUCUUGGUGGCCCUAGGUGGGUUUAGGUGGGCCGCCACCCAUGGCGGGUUAAGGCGGGUCAAGGCAGGUUAAGGCGGGUUAAGGCGGCCUAAGGCGUUCCAUGGCGAGUCAUGGUGUUUUCUUGGUGGCCCUAGGCGUGUCUACGAGGGUCAAGGCAGGCCAAGGCGGUCGAAAGUGGGCCAAGGCGGCCUAUGGUGGGUUAAAGGCGGGUCAAGGUGUGCCAAGGUUGGUCAAGGCGGGUCUAGGCGGCCCUAGGAAGCCCCUUUGCGGGUCUAAGAGGGUUAAGGCGCCUCUAGGCAUGUCUAUGAGGGUCAAGGCGGCCUAACACGGUUCAAGGCGGGUGAAGGCGGCCCAAAGCGGGUCAAGGCGCCCGAUUGGCCGCCCCUUGGCUGCCCUAGAUGGGCCUAGAAGAGACAAGGAGGGUUAUGACGACCCCUUGGUGAGUCAUGGCGGCUUUUUGGUGGCCCUAGACUGGCCUAAGAGGGUCAAGGCGGCUUCUUGGUGGCCCUAGGUGGGUCUAGGCGGCCCAAGGCAGUUUAAGGAGGCCCAAAACGGGUCAAGGCGACCCAUGGUAGCCUAAGGCGGGUAAAGGCUGCCCAAGGCGAUCCAGGGCGGGUGAUGGCAGGUCAAUUCGGGGGGUCAAGAUGGGUCAAGGUGGCCCCUUAGCAGACGUAUGCAGCCCCUUGGCGGGUCAUGGCGGUCCUUGAGGAGGUCAAAACAGCCUUAUGUGUGUAAAGGCAGCCCCUUGGCAAGUUAAGAGGUCCCCUUGGCGGCCCUAGGUGGGUCAUGGCGGCCCCCUUGGCUACCCUAGAAGGGCCGAGGAUGGUCAAGGCGAGCUAAGACGGGUCAAGGCGGGUUAAGGUGGUUCAAGGCGGGUUAAGGCGAGUUAAGGCGAGCCAAGGCGGUCUAAGGCAGGUUAAGGCGGCCCAAGGCGGGGUCAAGGCAGCCAUAGGCAGCCCCUUGACGGGUCUAGGAGGGUUUAGGAGGGUAAAGGCGGCCCAAGGCGGGUAAACUAAGCAAGCUAAGGUGGCCAAUGGUAGCCCAAGGCAGGUCAAGGAGGGUCUAAGCGAGUCAAGGCGGGUCUAGGCGGCCCAACGCAGUCUGUGGCGAGUCAUGGCGGCUUCAGGGUGGCGCUCGGCGAGUCUAGGCGGGUCAAGGCGGCCCAAGGCGGUUCAAAGCGGGUCAAGGCGGGCCAAGACAGUCCAAGGCGGGUCAAGGUGGCCCCUUGGCGGACGUAGGCAGCUCCUUGGCGGCCCUAGGGAGGUCAAAACAGUCCUAAGAGUGUAAAGGCAGCCUCUUGGUGGGUUAAGACGUCCCCUUGGCGGCCCUAGACAUGUCAAGGCGGCCCUAGGAAUGUUAAGGCGGCUUCUUGGUGGCCCUAGACGGGUCAAGGCGUGUAAGGGCUGCCUCUCGACGGCCCUAGGUGGGUCAUGGCACCCCUUUGGCUGCCCUAGGUGGGCCUAGAAGGGCCGAGGAGGGUCAUGGCGACGCAUUUGCAAGUCAUGGCGGCUUCUUGGUGACAUUAGGCAGUUAAAGGCGGGCCAAGGCAGGUCAAGGAGGGUCAAGGCGGGUAAAGGCGGGCCAAGGCAGGCCAAUGCGGGUCAAGACGGGUCAAGGAGGGUCAAGGUGGGCUAAGGCGGCCCUAGAUGGGCCUAAGAGGGUCAUGGUGACCCCUUGGCGUGUCAUGGCGGCUUCUUGGUGACCCUAGGUGGGUCAAGGCGGCCCAUGGCGGCCUAAAGCGGGUCAAGGCGCUCCAAGGCGGGUCAAGGCAGGUCAAAGCGGGUUAAGGCGGCCCAAUGGCGAGUCAUGGCGGCUUCUUGGUUGCCCUAGGCGUGUCUACGAGGGUCAAGGCGGGUCAAGGCAGGCCAAGGCGGUCAAAAGCGGGCCAAGACAGCCCAAGGAAGGCCAAGUGUUGUCAACUUUUAAUAACUUCGCAAGUGCACGAAUCGUUUGUAGUAUAGCUUAUAUGCAAAUACGAGGUCGUUCCAACUAGGGAUAGAUAACUAACUUUCAACUCUAACUAAUGACCAGAUUACGCUAAUGACCAACAAGAAAACAAGAAAAUAAGAAAAUAUUUUUGUGAUUUUUUUAAACAAUAAGAAAAGAGUAAAACAUGCAAAUUGAGAAUGUCACACAAGAUAGUUGAGAAAGAUGUUUUGAAAGGUUGUAAAACAAUGAUGGAUGAAUGCUAGGGCUUCUAAUUUCACAGUCACAAUCCUAUUCGAGUUCCUAGUGUUCCGAUUACUAACUACUAAACCGGUGUUAAAGAAUCAGUCAUAUAAGCCUUAUGGCAGAGUACUUACACGCAUAGGUUCUCUAAAGCAUGAAUACUACCUUAUGGCAGAGUAUAGUAUCCAACUAUUCUUAGAAGUAUGACAUCUACUCUUGAAGGGUCAAUGAAGUUCGAUGAGAACAAAAGGACUCACAUAAACCAAUAAAACAUGACAUCUGUUUUUAUCAAUCUAUGGUUUCUAAUCACAAGAAGCAUUCAAGAUUCAGCAUGGGCAUCUACCUACUCUUGCAUCAGAUAGCUUUAAACAAAACCCUAAAGGUCGCGAGUCUCUAGUAUUUUAAAAUAAGCAACAAUUCUUAUAGAGAUUAAAAACUCAACACCAAUCAAAUAAUCAAGUAAUCAUCAAACUAAAAACAUCGAAUAGUCAUGCUAAGGAUCCAUUAUGGCCCUAACAAAAUAUUUAGCUACUAAGGGUCAUAACAAACACAAUGAUAACAAUGAAAAACAUAAAAAGACUGAAAGGGAAAAUGGAUGAAGAUUGGUGAUGAUGGCUGUCUCCUAAUAUGUCACGUCCCGGAAGCUCCCUUCUUGAUGGCCAUGGCUGUAUCUAUUUAUAAGACUCAAUUCCCAAUUUGGUUAGGCUUUCUUGUUCUUCUUGGACUUGGAUGAUGAUGUGGCACUCUAAUAACAUAACUUGGGCCUUCAAGUUGUCUAUGAUGCUUCUAGAAUCUCCUUUGAAUCUUCUAUGCACGUUCAAACUUCCACACAUGAGGUUGAAGUAAGACAUUGCACAUUCUAGUCUAUCUUGAGCUGCCUUCAUUCAAACUGCUAUAUCUCUCUCCACAAAUAUCGAAAUCACGAACCGCCAAUUCUAUAGAACCUAGACACUCAGGGCUUUCUCUGCAUAUGUAGCUCGUUGUCUAAUUUGAUCUGAGCUGCUCUCAGUGAUUCGGUGAAGUUGGCUAAUCUGUAGAGACUGACUGCCAUAAUCCUGGGAUUUCUACGCCUCUUUCAAUCCUUCCUGCUCCAAUUACUUCUCUUUGCUCUUUGAACCUGAAAAACGACAAACUAAGUAAAAUUGAACUAAAUUACUUGAAAGUAUAAUACAAAUCUAAGGUAUAAAAAGGUAUAAAAACAUAGCAUAUAAUGGAUACAUCACCAAGGUGGGUUAAAGGCGGGUUAAGGCGUGCCAAGACUGGUCAAGACGGGUCAAGGCGGUCGAAAGCGGGCCAAGGCAGGUCUAGCUAAGCGGCCCUAGGAAUCCCCUUUGCGGGUCUAGGAGGGUUAAGGCAGCUCUAGGCGGGUCUAUGAGGGUUAAGGCGGCCUAACGCCGUUCAAGGCGGGUGAAGGCGGAUCUUGGCGGUCGAAAGCGGAACAAGGGGGCCUAAGGCAAUCCAAGGCGGCCCAAGGUAGGUUAAGGCGCCCCAUUGGCCGCCCCUUGGCUGCCCUAGUUGGGCCUAGAAGAGACGAGGAGGGUCAUGACGACCCCGAGGUGAGUCAUGGCGGCUUCUUGAUGGCCCUAGAUUGGCGUAGGAGGUUCAUGGCGGCUUCUUGGUGGCCCUAGGUGGGUCUAGGCGGCCCAAGGCAGUUUAAGGCGGCCCAUGGCAGCUCAAGGCAGCCUAUGGCGGCCCAAAGCGGGUUAAGACGGGCCAAGACGGGUCAAGGUGGCCGAAGGGGGGUCAUGGCGAGUAAAGGCAGGUCAAGGCGGGUCAAGGCAGGUCAAGGUGGCCCCUUGGGGAUGUAUGCAGCCCCUUGGCGGCCCUAGGCGGGUCAUGACGGUUUUUGAGGAGGUCAAAACAGCCCUAGGCGUGUAAAGGCAGCCCCUUGGCGGGUUAAGAGGUCCCCUUGGUGUCCCUAAGUGAGUUAUGGCGGCCCCCUUGGCUACCCUAGAAGGGCCGAGGAUGGUCAAGGUGGGUUAAGAGGGGUCAAGGCGGGUUAAGGUGGUUCAAGGCGGGUUAAAGCGGUCUAGGGCGGGUUAAGGCGGCCCAAGGCGGGUCAAGGCGGCCCUAGGCAGCCAUAGGUAGCCCCUUGACGGGUCUAGGAGGGUCAAGAUGGCCUAACGCGGUUCAAGGCGGGUCAAGGCGGCCUAAGGCUAGACAAGUUGCCACCUUGGCCGCAGCUUGGCUGCCCUAGGUGGGCAUAGAAGAGCUGAAGUGGGUCAUGGUGACCCCUUGGUGAGUCAUGGUGGUUUCUUGGUGGCCCUAGGAGGGUUAAGGCGGCCCAAGGCGGGUAAAGGCGGGUUAAAGCGGCCCAUGGCAGGCUAAGGCAAGUCAAGGCGGGUUAAGGCGGGCCAAGGCAGGUCAAGGCGGCCUAACGCGGUUCAUGGCNNNNNNNNNNNNNNNNNNNNACUAAGGCGGGUCAAGGCUCCCCCUUGGCCGCCCCUUGGCUGCCCUAGGUGGGGGUUAGAAAAGUCAAGGAGGGUCAUGGCUACCCCUUGGCUUGUCAUGGCGGCUUCUUGGUGGCCUUAGGUGGGUCUAGGAGGGUCAAGGCAGCCUAAGGCGGGUCGAAGUGGGUCAAGGUGGGUCAAGGCGGGCUAAGACAGGUCAAGGCGGGUCAUAACGAGUCAUGGCGGCUUCUUGGAGGGUCAAGGCGGCCCUAGGCACCCCUUUGGCAGGCCUACGAGGGUCAAGGUGGCCCAACACGGUUCAAGGCGGGUCAAGGCGGCCCAAGGCGGUCUAUGGCGAGUCAUGGCGGCUUCAUGGUGGCCCUAGGCGAGUCUAGGAGGGUCAAGGCGGCCCAAAGAGGUUCAAAGCGGGCAAAGACGGCCUAAGGCGGGUCAAGGCGGCCCAUGGUGGCCUAAGGCGGGUCAAGGCGGGCUAAGUCUGGUCUAGGCUGCCGAAGACGGGCCAAAGCGGGUCAAGGUGGCCCCUUGGCAGACGUAGGCAGCCCCUUGGUGGGUUAAGACGUCCCUAGGCGUGUAAAGACAACCCCUUGGUGGGUUAAGACAUCCCUUUGGCGGCUUUAGGCGUGUCAAGGCGACCCCCUUGGUGGCCCUAGGAAUGUGAAUGCGGCCUCUUGGCGGCCCUAGGUGGGUCAUGGCGCCCCCUUGGCUACUCUAGGUGGGCCUAGAAGGGCCAAGGAGGGUCAAGGCGAUAGAGCCUAGGAGGGUCAUGGCGACGCCUUUGCAAGUCAUGGCGGCUUCUUGGUGGCACUAGGCAGCCCAAGGCAGUUCAAGGCAGGCCAAAGAGAGUCAAGGCGGGUCAAAACGGUUCAAGGCGGAUCAAGACGGGUCAAAACGGGCCAAGACGGGUCAAGGCGGGCUAAGGAGGGUCAAGGUGGGCUAAGUCGGGCCAAGGCGAUCCUAUGCGGCCCUAGACGGGCCUAGGAGGGUCAUGGUGACCCCUUGGCGUGUCAUGGCGGCUUUUUGGUGGCCUUAGGUGGGCUUAGGAGGGUCAAGGAGGUUCAAGGCUGUAACGCCCCGAUUUGCACCUCUUCAAAUCAAGCACAUUACAGUGCCGCGCAUUCAUAGAACCCAAGCUAGGAUCCUUUACUCAAGUUCUAAGAACCCGCAAGGCAAAGGAAAAAUUUAAAAUUUAUAAAAAUGUUAGCAGAAAUGUUUAUUUAAGAUAAGGUGAAAAUAUAACACGUUUAGAUAUCUUUCAAAUCAAACAAGCCCUCUCUAAAACAAAAAUCAAUAUCAGUCCGGUUCAAGAUCAACGAUUUGAAAAGUUUGCAAGAUGAAUAGUUUCUCAAAUAUACACAUACUCGAUAAGGCGGCCCUAGGUGGGUUUAGAAGGGUCAAGGCGGGCUAAGGAGGGCCAAGGCGGUUCUAGGCGGCCCUAGGAGGGUCAUGGUGACCCCUUGGCGUGUCAUGGCGGCUUCUUGGUGGCCCUAGGUGGGUUUAGGAGGGUCAAGGCGGUUCAAGGCUGUCAUGGCGGCCCAAAGCAGGUCAAGGCGGGCUAAGGCGGGUCAAGGUGGCCAAUGUGGGCCUAAGGUGGGUCAAGUCGGCCCAUGGCGGCCCAAAGCAGGUCAAGGCGGGCUAAGACGGGUCAAGCGGCCCAAGGUAGGACAAGGCAGGUCAAGGCUGGAUAGUCUACGACAGUCAAGGUGGGUCAAGACAGUUCAAGACGGGUUAAGGUGGGCCAAGGCGGGUCAAGGCCGCCCAAGGAAGGCCAAGGCGGGUUAAAGGCGGGACAAGGUGGGUUAAGGUGGCCCUAGGCAGCCCCUUGGCGGGUCAAGGCGGUAGAAGGCGGGUCAAGGUGGCCUUAGGCAGCCCCUUGGUGGGUCUAGGAGGGUCAAGGCGGCCCAACACGGUUCAAGACUGGUCAAGGCAGAUCAAGACGGCCCAAGGUGGGUCUAGGCGGCCCAAGGCGGGUCAAGGCAGCCCAUGGCCGCUCAAGGCGGGUCAAGGCAGCCCAUGGCGGCCCAAAGCGGGUCAAGACGGGCUAAGACGGGUCAAGGCGGCCCAUGGCGGCACAUCGCGGGUCAAGGCGGUCAAAGGCAGGUCAAGUCGGGUCAAGGUGGAUCCAGGUGNNNNNNNNNNNNNNNNNNNNNNNNNNNNNNNNNNNNNNNNNNNNNNNNNNNNNNNNNNNNNNNNNNNNNNNNNNNNNNNNNNNNNNNNNNNNNNNNNNNNNNNNNNNNNNNNNNNNNNNNNNNNNNNNNNNNNNNNNNNNNNNNNNNNNNNNNNNNNNNNNNNNNNNNNNNNNNNNNNNNNNNNNNNNNNNNNNNNNNNNNNNNNNNNNNNNNNNNNNNNNNNNNNNNNNNNNNNNGGUGGCUUCUUGGUGGCACUAGGCGGUUCAAGGCGGGCCAAGGCAGGUCAAGGGCGGUCCAAGGUGGGCGAAGGCGUUCCAAGGCGGGUCAAGGUGGCCCAAGGCGGUCCAAGGCAAGUCAAGGCGGGCCAAAGCGGGCCAAAGCGGGUCAAGGUAGGUCAAGGCGGGUGAAAGCGGGCCAAGGCAGGUCAAGGCGGUCCAAGACGAGCCAAGGCGGUCCUAGGUGGGUCAAGGCGGCCAAAGCGGUCAAAGGCGGGUUAAGACGGGCCAAGUCGGGUCAAGGUGGCCCUUUCGCAGACGUACGCAGCCCCUUAGCGGCCCUAGGCGGGUCAUGGAGGUCCCUAGGGAGGCCAAAAUAGCCCUAGGCAUGUAAAGACAGCCUCUUGGCGGGUCAAGACGUCCCCUUGGCGGCCCUAGGCGUGUCAUAGCUGCCCCCUUGGCGGCCUUAGGAAUGUUAAGGCGGCCUCUUGGCGGCCCUACACGGGUCAAGGCAUGUACAGGCAGCCCCUUAGCUGCCCUCGGUGGGCCGAGGAGGGUCAAGGCGGCCAAUCAUGGGUCAAGGCGGGUUAAGGCGGGCCAAGAGGCCAAGACGGGCCUAGGAGGGUCAUGGCGGCUUCUUGGUGGCACUAGGCGGACCAAGGCUAUUCUAGGCGGGUUCAGGGGGACCAAAACCAGCCAUGGCAGGUCAAGGCGGUCCAAGGCGGGUCAAGGUGAAUCAAGGUAGGUCAAGGCGGAUCAAGGCGGAUCAAAGCGGCCCAAGACGGGCCAAGGUGGGUCAAGGUGGCCUUAGACGGGUCAAUAUAGCCCCAUGACGGCUGUAAGUAGCCCUUUGGCGGCCCUAAGCAGGUCAAAGCGGGUCUAUGGCGGGUAAAGGCUCCCCCAAGGCGGCCUAAGACGGGUAAAGGCUCCCUCUUGGCCGCCCUUUAGCUACCCUAGGUGGGCCUAGAAGAGCCGAGGAGGGUCAUGACGACCCCUUGGGGAGUCAUGGCGGCUUCUUGGUGGCCUUAGACGGGCCUAGGAGGGUCAUGACAACCCCUUGGCGAGUCAUGACGGCUUCUUGGUGGCCCUAAGUGGGUCUAAGAGGGUCAAGGCGGCCCAAGGCGAUUCAAGCCGGGUAAAGGAGGGUCAAGACGGCCCAUGGCGGCCUAAGGCGGGUCAAAACUCCCCUUGGCCGCCCCUUGACUGCCCUAGGUGGGCCUAGAAGAGCCGAGGAGGGUCAUGGCGACCCUUAGCGACGUCGAUGGCGGCUUCUUGGUGGCCCUUGACAGGCCUAGGAGUGUCAUGGCGACCCCUUGGCGAGUCAUGGCGGCUUCUUGGUGGCCCUAGGUGGGUCUAGGAGGGUCAAGGUAGGUAAAGGCUGGUCAAGGUGGCCUGUGGCAGCCCAUGGUGGGUCAAGGCGGGUCAAAGCGCCCCUUUGGCCGCCCCUUGGCUGCCCUAGAUGGGCUUAGAAGAGCCGAGGAGGGUCAUGGCCAGUCAUGGCGGUUUCUUGGUGGCCCUAGGUGGGUCUAGGAGGGUUAAGGCGGCCCAAGGAGGGUCAAGGCGGUCCAAGGCUAGUCAAGGCGGCCUAACGCGGUUCAACGCGGGUAAAGUCAAACCAAGGCGGGUCAAGGCGGCCCAUGGCAGCCUAAGGCGGGUCAAGGCAGCCCAAAACGGUUUAAGGCGGCCCAAGGCUGGUUAAGGCGGCCCUAGGAGGGUCAAGGCGGGUUAAGGAGGCCCCAAGAAAGUGAAACUAGUUAGAAACUCAUGUGCUAUAGCAAGUGGUUUUCGCUCGAAUUUGGUGAAAUUUGAAAUGAGGGGCAAUACCUCAUUUUCUUUUAAAAUUAAGGUUCCCGGUGUCAAUAUGAAAAGAAUUGAAGAAAAUGGAAUCUUGGAAAGUCAAUCAGUUCUAAUUAAAACAACAAUUUCAACAGCUUUAUAAAACACGACACGUGUGAGUUUAUUUAGGCCCGAUCGCAAGUAAAUUGAUAAAAGACAAGGAUUUUUGAAGCUAGAAUGGAUUACUAUAUGUUAAGAGGUGUCUGUAAGCACACCUAAACGGAAAAAGCCAGAGGCCCAAUAAAAGUGAAACUUGCCAAAAACUUGUGUAGCAAAGUGUUGUGGCUCGAAUUGGGGGAAACUUGAAAUGAGAGGCAAUACCUUAUUUUCUUUUGAAACUAAGGUUUCCGAUGUCAAUAUGAGAAGAAUUGAAGAGAACAUAAUCUUAAAAAGUCACUCAAUACUAAUUAAAACAACAAUUUCAAUUGUUUUACAAAAUACAACACUUGUGAGUUAUUUAGGCCCGAUCGCAAGUAAAUUGAUAAAAGACAAGGAUUUUUGAAACUAGAAUGGUUCAAUAUAUGUUAAGAGGUGUCUAUAAGCACACCUGAGUGAAAAAAGCCGGAGUCCCAAAAAAAGUGAAACUGGCUAGACUCUCAUGUGCUGUAGCAAGUGGUUAUGGCUCGAAUUGGGUGAAAUUUGAAAUGAGGGGCAAUACCUCAUUUUCUUUUAAAAUUAAG
rnacentral:lncRNA from 1 species